AGACUUAGGUGGAAGUGAAACAAUAUAUAAUUCCUUAACAAUACUCCUUUUUUAUAUAUAUAAAGUAAAUGCCCCUCUUUGCAUUUACAUCUUUCUCAAAGUUGUCCAAAGGCAUGCUGGGGUCCCGGGCAUUUUCACAUGACAGCAUUUUCAGGCAAAGCACAGUCAUUCAGACCCUGAACCACUGAGAAUUCUGUCUCAUGGCAAAAUUCGAGCUCUGCAGGUGAGUAUUACAAACCACACACUCAAAACACUAAACACACUUAUUAUGGCUAAAAUAUCCCACUUUAUAAACACUCAUCAGUGUGCUUGACGGAAAUGUUUCAAAUAGUUUUAAGAUGAUUUUUUUUUCGGUUGAUCAGAUGAAACUCCAACAGCAGAAGCUGCAUUUAGGUCCUCGCCCACUUCUGUUGCCCAUUAAACGGCGUGAAGACUUAGGUGGAAGUUCAGGAGAUGACGGCCUUCCUUGUAGCCCCUCUGAAGUAUCCAACAGUGAAGAACUAUACAUGAACAUAUCGAACAAGGUGCUUCAACUAUAAUACAGCAGCAUUCCAGUAACUUUGUUGUGACAUAGUGAAUGUAAGUGUAUUGUCACCAAUAUAUAAUAUUGUGUGAUGUCCCUUUUAAAUGUGUACUCCCCUUUCCUUCCAGGCCUCUGGCUCAGUGGAUUUUAGCACUCCCCCACAGUUCACUUCCCUCCUGGACAACUCUGCUGCCCGUCACCGUAUGUCCCUCAAGCCUAAGAACCAAAGAGCCAUUGCCAAGAACAAGAGGGUGACCACUUUGGCUGGAAGCAGAGCACGAUCUGAGAGUUUAAACAAUCUGGAUCAAUCACUGACUACUACGGAGGAAGAGACUACUACGGAGGAAGAGACUCUUGUAAAAGAGAUACCUCGCGCUCGCUCGUAUUCCUCGCAGGUCUUACGGGGGGAGAGGCUAACAACUUUACAAAUCAACAGUCCAGUUUCAGUGACACCUUUAAUGUCUCUGCAUACUGCUGGAGAUUGUAGAAAAGUUUCUGCUGAACCUGAGCUUGAGAGAAACAUCCUGUCCACAUCACCUCCAAGCCCCAGCCUACGGGAAACGACUCCAGCUGUGUCACCAUUUGCCAAACUGCCAAUCCCAGUGGUGCCAAUUGACAAAAAGGGAAAAGGAGAAGUGAGUGAGAUGCUCAGUAGCUCCAAACUACUCAAGAACAGCCAAAGUACCACUGUGUUAACUGUAAGCCCAACUGUAAGACCAAGUGUAACUACCACACCAGAACUGAGUCCUGUGAAAGAUGAGAAGUCUAAUGCUGUGCCAAUAGAUACCAAGACGGACAAAUGCAGUGUUCAGAAUGCAGUAAAUAUUGAAAAUCACACAGCCUCUGCUCAUGGUCCAACCAAUGUGAUUUGUGGAAUAAAUCUGAGACCAUCAUCUUUGAGGAGAAAUAUACCUUCCACAGAUGAAAAACAAAAAAAAGAGUCCGGGACUGAAGCUCACACUCAAACAGAAUCCAUAAAGCGCCAGAGAACUGUGUCUGGAUCGUUCCACUUCAGUGUCUCCUCAGACAAGAAUCAAGAGCGGCAGAGGACUGCAAGUUUCACUGGAGUAUUUGGACAAGCUGGAAUUAAAAAAAAAGCCUCCAUCUCCUGUCAAACCUCCUUUAAAUUUCAAGAUAGAGCGGCAAGUAAGUUCACAAGUUGAGAAAACAAUAAAAGACACAUGCCCUAACAUACCACCAACUUCAAAGAAGGAAGACAAAACGGACACUUCUCCAGUGAUGCCAACAAAGUUCACAGAUCUAGCAAAGAGUCACCCUCGGGCCUUGGAUGUGGAGGAGAGUCAGGACAACGAGAAGCAGGAGAUUGGGGUAGAGGAAGGAGUACAGGAGGUGGAGCUGGCAGAAGAGGCACGUGAGGAUGUGAUGGAAGAUGUGACUAUGGGAAAAGAGGAAGAUGCUUCAAAUGCAUUUGGAGUGAAGCUUCGCUCUACCUCUCUUUCACAAAAAUUUCACUUGGACAAAGCUCAAUCAGAAGAAGUAAAAUGCCACAGUGUUGAAGUUAGUGCACCGAUUUCCUCUUCGGCCUCUCAGUCUGAUUCAACCAGCUAUGUGGAGCCUGAAGACCAAUGCAUUGGCAUGGGGUCUACAAGAGUCCAUGCUAAACUCAAAGACCCUCCUCUCCAAACUGAUGCAUCCUCAACUUCAGUUCAUUCCUUCGGUUCGCCACCUAAGAGUUCCUGUAGGGACAAAGAGAGAGCUGGUGUCCUCAGACAGGCUGGUGAGUUUCUUUUCGUGGUUUCCCAAGGUGCAUGAAGAUUAAGCCUCUGGCCUAUUUAGUUGCAAUUAUGACGAAUGUGAACAGCUACAUAUCCUAUGAGGAUGAUGAUCCAGGUAAUACCAGGAAAAGUCAAACAUUUUAGAAAGCUGCUUUGUACAAAUGUUUAACUGUGCCCAUCUGUAAAUACACUGGUAGCGGUUACUAGAUUUCUGUUUAAGUUAUACCUGUCUUAUUGAACAGACAGUGGACUUUACUAAAUCACUAAACCAAUAAAGUCAUUAUCAACUUUAUUUAAUGAUUAAUUGAUUUUAGUAUAAUAUAAAAAGAGAAGCAAUCAGCAGAGCAGUACAGUAAGAAAUGAUAUGCACUAUAACAAAUAACAAUACUAAACAAAAAAUGGUGCUACAACAGCUUACAAGAUGCAUGCACAUUAGCAAAAUUCUGUUGCCCAAAAAAAGGUUCACUGUCCAUUAUCAAUAGUAUAGCGAUGCAUGAAACACAGCUCACACAGAAGUUUUUCUAUUCAGUCUUUUCUAUUCAGCUUUCUAUACAGUCAGCAUGUGAAAUCUGCAUGGGGUACGUGAAACUCUUGAACGUGUAACAAACUAGCUCAGAGGGGGAAAUAUUAAUAAUUACUCAUAACUUUUUAUAAUUAAUUAUUCAUAUUUAUAUAGCUUUACGAUUAACUGUAGCAGAAUUAAUUUUACAAUCGACUGAACGGUUCGUCCACCGAACUGAUAGUACAAUCUUUUAUCAAUUCAAAGUAAGAUUAUUCUCCUGGCCAACAAGGAUAGCUUUCUCACUGUUAAUACUAAACAGCACAAGAGCAUGUAACGAAAUCAUAUGUUUAAGUGACCUUGAUUUGUGAGCAGCGAACACAGAGACAAUCGAGAGUGUUUAUGAAAAAGUUUAAUAAAUGGGACUAGUUGUAACAUAGCUAAACUAAGCGUAUAUGUAGGAUUACAAAAAGGUAAAAGUGAGCGAGAGAGAAAGAGAGAGAAAGAGAGACAGAAUGGCAAUAUUUACACAUGCCCAACCCUAAGAGCCAGCAAGGAACCAAAAUCUCCUUUAAAAAAGGGGUUAAAAACUAUAGUGCAUCUAACAGUUACUAAAAAAGGUUACUUGCAUUGGUUUUGAUGCAUAAUGACAGUCCGAAAAAUCAGGUAAGGCUGAGUUCAAUGUAGCGUGCUGGAGUUGUCCCUUGUUGGUCUUUACUGGGCCACAGGCAUUUGGUGCAUGGUGCUGAGUUCAUCUUCUCAUGGAAUGUGCUUGAAGUCAGAUCGGGCGACCAGAGUACUGUUCUGUUUAGCAUCUUCUGGAUGGUGGGGGGGACCCUUGGAAAUUUAGCACCCAUAUAAACAUAGACUGUGGGGCCAGGUCUGUAAUUUCUAUGCAGAUGUCAAAAGGCUAAAAGGAUCUCUGAGACAUAAAGCCCAAACGAACAUCAGUGAUCCUAUGCAAAUGCUACAAACAUGCCCAUGAAAUUUUGCAGGGCAAUGGUAAAUAUGGCUCUCUUUUAGUAGCAAGUAAACAAGAACACACCUAUUCACCACUACUUAUUUAAGUCAUAUCUGAUUUUGCAUUUACCCAUUUUACCCAUGUUGGUUAGAUCACCUCUUUCCGUGCAGAUUUGUGAUUUUGGGUGAAAUAAGAUGAAUGGUAUUUUGAUAAAUAAAUAUUCUUCUGCAUUUUCAGAACCUGCUCAGCCCUCAUCAUCAGCCAGCAAAUCCGCUAAGACUGUACCUUCACCAGCUAAAGAAGAUGCAGACUUGCCUCCAGAAGAGACUACAGUGGUAUCCUCUCAGGAGAAUACAACAUCUACAGCUUCAGAGGUGUCCUGGAUGGAGAUGGCCAGAGAGAAGACCAGAAGUCUCCAACAGCUCUUUACCAGUAGGCUGCCUGAGUUUCCUAGCUUGCAAUCACGACCAACAACCUUAACCACAACACAACCACAAACAUCCACUUCACAAGCCAAUCCAAGAAUCACACAAAACAUUUCAAGCCAGCCGACGACUACACAACCUCUUUUGAGACCUCCAGAAACAAAACCGUUGCCCUCUGCACAGCAAUCUGGAAGAUCUACACAAUCUACCACUCAGCUGAUACAAACUCAGACCAAAACAACAGCAAGCCAGCCUUCGGCAAAUUCAACUCAGACUACCACUAGUCAAUCUCAAACUGACAGUGCCAGAGAAGUCCAGUUUCAGUCCAAGACUCAAAUUUGUAAUUCGACAACAAAAUUAACCCAGUCUGAAGUUACAAGCACAUCGACUGCACAAACCACCAACGUAUACACAGCAAAACAGCCAUCACAAGCAUUGGCACCGCAGACACCACCCAUCCAGCCGUCAUCACCACUGCGAGCAGCAUCACAGACCCCCUCACAAGCUAUACUGCGUCACACACCACCCCCAAGUUACCCACAUCUGUCAUCAAGCCCAAAGUUAACGUCCCACCUAGUGUCCCAACAGUCUGCCAAUACUGUCUCAAACGAUCAGCCUCAGAAUGAGGGGAGAGAGCCCACCGUAUUCUCAGGGAAAGCUGACGGGGCGUCUGCGUCUCAGGGGAAAGACACUGGGCCUAAAGAUGGCAGACCAGUGUGGGCAACAGGAUCAGGAAACAAGACCUCACUCUUACAGCGCUGGGAGAACCAAACAACUGCGACAACCGAGGUAUUAUUUUUCCUGUAAUCUCUAAACACACUCAGUUUAUUCAGUCAUAUAUAAACCAGAGAGAAGACACUUACUUAGGCCUCAGAAAACAGAGUGUGAUUGUUUCACUCUAGUCAAGAUUCCAUUCAUGUUUUACAAAAAAAAUCUAAAUGUUUACUGAUUUAGCAGAAAUGCUUUCACAAGUAGAAUCUUUUAUUUAUUUAUUUAUUUUUUAACUUUAGCGCACAAAUUCUGUUUCGAUAUUUCACAUGUCAUUAAAAACUAGUUUGGAAGCACAUUUUUGUCAAGAGGAACAGCUUAAAUACAUGUGGGGGUCACAUGACAGAAUUAAAAAUGCGUCCACGUCUGUGUUAUAAAAUAUACAUUGUAUGUUAUUUCAAAAUACUGAACUUGUUUCAGGUAAAAACUGCUCAGAAAUAUUAUAUAAAUAUAUACAGUCCACUACCAUGAAAACAGUUGUGCU
rnacentral:lncRNA from 1 species